rnacentral:rRNA from 1 species
UACAGAGGUCUCAACCGUUGUUCGGAUUCAUUGGGCGUAAAGGGUGCGUAGGCGGCGGGGUAAGUCAGGUGUGAAAUCUCGGGGCUCAACCCCGAAACUGCACUUGAUACUGCUUCGCUUGAGUACUGGAGAGGAGACUGGAAUUUACGGUGUAGCAGUGAAAUGCGUAGAUAUCGUAAGGAAGACCAGUGGCGAAGGCGGGUCUCUGGACAGUUCCUGACGCUGAGGCACGAAGGCCAGGGGAGCAAACGGG